UCAGCGGAUAUGAAACUUUUA
rnacentral:piRNA from 1 species